UAUUAUAACAGCGCCUGGACACAAUCCUGUGUUGACGAGGACUAAGGUUAUCGAAAGAUUCGGCGGAUGCCUUAGUGGCUAGCUUAAGCCAAAGUAUUAAUCAAAAAAUAGCAGUAAUGUUAUAACAAAAAUUAAUA
rnacentral:ncRNA from 1 species